UAGAUGCACUCCAAAUGGAUCCACCUGCAGAUGUUGGACAUAUCCUGACCAAAAUCUGUAUGAGGGUCAUUCUACAGAAACGUCCACUUUUCUGUCCCUAGACUUUAAAGAAAUAUUACAAUUGAAAUACACAUUAGGGUUACAAUUUUUUUUUAUAUUUUAAAAAGAAACAAUAUGUUAUUUGAACAAUUACACCUUCCUGAGGCAUCAAUGUGGCAUUAUUAUUUUUUUAUUAAUUAUAUAGAAUUCCAAGUACCACAAAACUGCUCGUCCCCACAGCCAUGUACAGCAGGAAAGUGCUUUAUUUUGAGGUCAAAAACAGGAUUUUCUACCAUUUAAAAUACAAAAGUCUAUUCAUAACUAUCAAAUAUAUGAUAUAAAUGGCAUAAUAAAACAAAAUGCCAAAAAAAUAUAAAAUAUAUAAUGAAAACAGUGGUCCUCUGGAGUUGUGUCACUGGUGUUACCGCUUAACAAAAGUCUUUUAUUUUGGAAUAAAAAAAUCACACUGAUGACCUCACUCGACUUCCUCCUUCCUAUUUUCUAAACAUCUAUGAAAAAAAGCCGAUGUUUUGUCCACUGUGUCUUUUCAGUUAUGAUAAAUUGAUUUCAUAUGAAGCUUUUAGUUGAUGUCACUGGUGUGACCUAUUUAUUGUUAGGGAAAUGUAAAAACUAUAAUACAAAUGGAUUAAACUACUUAAUUUAGAUCACAUCAUCAUGCAGUCUGCAGCUUUUCCGAACUUCACUGGAAAUUACUUUGAGCAGUGCAAGGAGCUAUUGGCAGAAGAACUACUGACAAGGGCUUCAAAGAAUUUGCCACUCACUGUGUGGCACAACUAAUCAACACCACAAGUCUUAAGAGGGCAGUUGAUAUUUUCAAGUGCAUAUGUGCCAUUUCUUCUACACAAAAGCAAACACACAGUGUGUAACUCAGUGUGUUCAACAACUUCAUGACCACAUUCGUGGAAGAAAAAUUCCGGAAGACACACUGGAUGAGAAGCAGGCAGUGGAUGACUACAUACCACCAGAGGCUAAAAAAAUACUGGCCAGGUCUCCCUUUACCAAAGAAUUUGCUAGUGCACUUGACACUGUCAUAUCUACUGAAGAUCCAAGAGGAAACGGAAAUGGGCAACAACAAAUACCAUUGUCCAGGGAUACUGGAUAUUCUGAUAAGACUAUAUGCCAAUUUUUCCACUCUGUUCAGGGAUAAUGCUUGGUGAUUUGAAAAGAUACUACGACAGGGAGUCUGUCGGAGAUCACGAUGACUUACAGAAAACCCAUGACACGAAUUGUCAUGCUGAAAACUGGUUCUGUAUUGUCAAAGACAAAAUCUUACUGAAAAAACUUCACCAUUGGCCAGCAACAUUCAUACAAAAAAUGUAUGCAUCAUCACAAGGCCGGUACAGGGAGCACAUUCUGCAACACAACCUUCCAUACAGAAUAUUACAGAAGUGUUUCAAUGUGAAAAAAGGAAGAUUGGAGGACUCCGAAGAAAAAUGGGCCGAGAAGAGCAUGUGUGACCGAAAAUAAAAUAAAACUGAGUACUUUCAUACCCCAGAAGUUAUACCUUCUCCAAAAGCAAAAGCAUCAAAAGAUCAGCCCAAAUCCAAAAACAAAGAAACAGACAGUGUCGAAUUUGUGUCAGAGACUUCACAGGAAUCAAAUGCUUCUGUUCGACAGCAGAAGUCCAGUAAGACAAAAACACACCAUGUCAAAGGAGCGUCUAAAACUUCACAGGGUAUCUGCAGCUGCCUGUGAGGCUGUCCUGAGGGUCUUAUGUUCGAUCGGACCGGAGCGCUCCAUGAAGGGGAGCGGAGGAGACACCCAAGCCAGACCCAGCUGCUGCUCGUGAAUUAUUCUGUCUGUCUCCAGC